AUUGAACGCUGGCGGCAGGCCUAACACGUGCAAGUCGAACGGUAACAGGAAACAGCUUGCUGUUUCGCUGACGAGUGGCGGACGGGUGAGUAAUGUCUGGGAAACUGCCUGAUGGAGGGGGAUAACUACUGGAAACGGUAGCUAAUACCGCAUAACGUCGCAAGACCAAAGAGGGGGACCUUCGGGCCUCUUGCCAUCAGAUGUGCCCAGAUGGGAUUAGCUAGUAGGUGGGGUAACGGCUCACCUAGGCGACGAUCCCUAGCUGGUCUGAGAGGAUGACCAGCCACACUGGAACUGAGACACGGUCCAGACUCCUACGGGAGGCAGCAGUGGGGAAUAUUGCACAAUGGGCGCAAGCCUGAUGCAGCCAUGCCGCGUGUAUGAAGAAGGCCUUCGGGUUGUAAAGUACUUUCAGCGGGGAGGAAGGGAGUAAAGUUAAUACCUUUGCUCAUUGACGUUACCCGCAGAAGAAGCACCGGCUAACUCCGUG
rnacentral:rRNA from 1 species